CUGCGGCGUGCCUACCUGCAAGUCGAGCGAGAAAGCCCGCAAGGGUGAGUAAAGCGGCGCACGGGUGCGUAACACGUGGAUAAUCUGCCCUAGAGUCCGGAAUAACUCGCCGAAAGGCGUGCUAAUGCCGGAUGAGACCACGGGAGCUUCGGCUUCCGCGGGAAAAGGUGGCCUCUGUACACAAGCUAUCGCUUUAGGAUGAGUCCGCGGCCCAUCAGCUCGUUGGCGGGGUAAUGGCCCACCAAGGCUACGACGGGUAGCUGGUCUGAGAGGACGAUCAGCCACACUGGAACUGAGACACGGUCCAGGCUCCUACGGGAGGCAGCAGUGGGGAAUCUUGCGCAAUGGGCGAAAGCCUGACGCAGCAACGCCGCGUGUGUGAUGAAGGUCUUCGGAUCGUAAAGCACUGUCGCGAGGGACGAAUAAGGGGCGGGCUAACAUCCCGUUCCGAUGACGGUACCUCGAGAGGAGGCACCGGCUAACUCUGUGCCAGCAGCCGCGGUAAUGCAGAGGGUGCAAGCGUUGUUCGGAAUUAUUGGGCGUAAAGCGCGUGUAGGCGGCUUCGUAAGUCGGAUGUGAAAGCCCUCGGCUUAACCGAGGAAGUGCGUUCGAAACUGCGAGACUUGAGUACCGGAGAGGGUGGCGGAAUUCCCGGUGUAGAGGUGAAAUUCGUAGAUAUCGGGAGGAACACCAGCGGCGAAGGCGGCCACCUGGACGGAUACUGACGCUGAGACGCGAAAGCGUGGGGAGCAAACAGGAUUAGAUACCCUGGUAGUCCACGCCG
rnacentral:rRNA from 1 species